AUCUGGCUACAUCUUACUACAAUUGAUUAACUUAAAUCUAUUAUUGAAUAUUAUUUAAAAAAUAUUCCCUAAGGUUUUGCCUUAACAAUUCCUUCUUGGCCCCCCAGCUGAAUCUAAUGCUUGUAGGUAAGGAAUUAAACAUUAUUAUUAUUAUAUACUAUAUACUAUAUACUAUAUAAUUAUAUACUAUAUACUUUUUUUUUAUUUUUAUUUUAAUUAUUAGAUAUAACUGAAAACAUCUGACAGAUACUCGACAGUAACCAGAUAAUAUUUUUAACUUUAUUGAACUUCAGCAAAGCAUUUGACACGGUUAACCACAAAAUUCUAUGUACAAAACUUUUAAAAUUCUUCGACUUUUCUGGACCCGCUGUUAAACUCAUAUCAUCAUACUUGAGUGGUAGAAUGCAAGCAGAUUUUACUGAAAUUGGAUGUUCAGAACCACUCAUACUAAAGCGUGGCGAGCUUGUAACGACCCAUCGUCACAACAACUAAAUGCAACCCGCGCGCGUCUUUUCAAACGCGCGCCCAAAGCCCAAAGCGACAACUGGUCACACUGACAACAGAGAUAUAGAUAGUCGAAGGCCAUCGCUAGAAUCAUGACCCGAUAACUAAUUAUCGAAAACGGGAUUAUCGUUACCGCUCGCUCUGGGCACUCUAAAUAGCGGCUAUAUAAUCAGAGGCAAGGCCUCAGAUCAGGGACUUGCGUUCCGACGAUCAUCGAGGAAACAUCUACAAGGAGGAAGAUCCGGAAACCCAAGUAGAUCGUUCCCAACGACCCAGAACUCUACGUGCCCGACGUACGCACGACGAAGCAGUUCACGUACCGGCCCAUCCGCAGCACCAACGCGAUCACUCGGCCCAUCCCGCAGCGCCAACGCUAUCAUCACUUACACUUCCGUAGCGUAACGUACACACCACGAAGCAGUUCACUCUUCGGCCCUUCCGCAGCGCCGUCGCGACUUUACGGCCCAUCCGCAGCCAAGUCACUUCCGCAGCAUCGAAUCAACGACGGCAAGCAGUUCAUCACACGCUUCCGCAGCAUCGGAUCAACGACGGCAAGCAGUUCAUCACACACGCUCCUGUGGCAUCGGACCAACGGCGGCAAGCAGUUCUUCACACAGCUUCAGUAGCAUCGGAUCCCGACAGCAAGCAGUUCACCACUCGGCCCUCCCGGAGCACCAAAUCAACAGCAAGCAGUCCAGCCUUCGGCCCUCCUGUAGCACCGAACCACCGAAGCAAGCAGUGUCGACUCACAUAUACAUACGUCAUCACCCGACAAAACCUCACUUUACAAUUACUACGAAAUACACGCCUACCUUAUAGCUCUA